AGCGAACGCUGGCGGCAGGCCUAACACAUGCAAGUCGAGCGCCCCGCAAGGGGAGCGGCAGACGGGAGAGUAACACGUGGGAACAUGCCCUUCAGUUCGGAACAACCCAGGGAAACUUGGGCUAAUACCGGAUACGUCCGUAAGGAGAAAGAUUUAUCGCUGAAGGAUUGGCCCGCGUCCGAUUAGCUAGUUGGUGAGGUAAUGGCUCACCAAGGCGACGAUCGGUAGCUGGCUGAGAGGAUGAUCAGCCUCACUGGGACUGAGACACGGCCCAGACUCCUAC
rnacentral:rRNA from 1 species